rnacentral:rRNA from 1 species
UACGUAGGGUGCAAGCGUUGUCCGGAAUUAUUGGGCGUAAAGAGCUCGUAGGCGGCUUGUCGCGUCGACUGUGAAAUCCCGCGGCUCAACUGCGGGUCUGCAGUCGAUACGGGCAGGCUAGAGUUCGGUAGGGGAGACUGGAAUUCCUGGUGUAGCGGUGAAAUGCGCAGAUAUCAGGAGGAACACCGGUGGCGAAGGCGGGUCUCUGGGGCCGAUACUGACGCUGAGGAGCGAAAGCGUGGGGAGCGAACAGG